GCCUGGGUGGCUCAGUCGGUUGAGCAUCCGACUUCAGCUCAGGUCAUGAUCUCACAAUCCGUGGGUUCAAGCCCCGCGUUGGGCU
rnacentral:tRNA from 1 species